UCGGCUUCCCACGAGGGAUUCUCACGCAUGACUACCUCCGUACAUCCCAGGUGCACCUCCGUACAUCCACGUUGACAGAACCUGCGAGAAAGAAAAAUAAACAGCAAUGGAAUGCACGAGAAAGGCUAACAGUGUAACAACCCGAAUCCCCGCCACCGGAAUAGAGUUACAGAGCAUUACUGGAGUUACCGAUUUAUUUAUCAUAUAUUCAUUUCAUCUAACAUUCAUAUUUGGAACCAAUUAAAAUCAAACAUAUUGUCCCUUAACAUACUUAUUUUUCUCGAUAUGUUGUACUUGAAUUUAUUACUCGUCUCAAUUUAAUUAAUUUCCUUGUAUCAACGUAUCAAAGAUAAUCACCUACAUGUCAUGAUAAAUAUUAUUCUUUUGCCAUUUCUUCUUCGUAAACAUAAUCAGGUAAUUCAUUAUAUCGAUAUUUCAUCAUGCAUUUAAAAAUACAAUUCAAGUUACACUAAUUUACCUCGUUACUUGUUCAUGUUUAAAUUUCAUUAAUUCGAUAUCUUUUCUUUUCUACGUUCAAGUCUCGUAUUCGAGUCAUCCGGAUCUUUACAAAGAAAUUUGAUCGUCGUUUUCAUUUUUCAUGUUCUAAUACAUUCAAUUGAUACUCUAAACAAAAUUACCAUUUUACCUCUAAACUUUUUAAUUAAUGACGAUUUCAUCCUUAGGCUAAAAAAUAAAAUUCUUGCAAUUUAAUCCUUAUUUCCAGCUGUUAUUCUCAAACAAAUUGAUAACAACCCAUGAAUUCUAUAAAAUAUCAAAAUUUCAUAAUUUCAACAAUUUUCAAUUUAAUCCUUAAACAUGUUUUCCCCGAUCUUGAGCUAAAUUAAUAAUUCAUUCAAUUUUGUAAUUUUAAAUGAUAAAAUAAUUCAUUUCAUGCAAAUUGGUCAUUUCUAACAUUUUUACAAAAUUACCCAUAAAGUUUUAAUUUUAUUCAAUUUAGUCCCUGAGCCUAAAACAUGCAAAUUAGCCAUGCUAGAUGAGUAUUCAUACAUAUUUUCCUCCUCCUCCUCUCUGUUCCACAUCCUUAAUUUAUAUAAUAUGCUACAAAACAAUAUCAAUAAUUUCACUAUUUACUUAUAUGUAUAUUCAAAACUGUCCAUUUGCGUCAUAGUCACUAAAUUAUUUAUAUCUUGAGCUAUAGAACUCGAAAUUAAGAUCCGCUAAUUUUACAUGAAACUAGACUUAUGUAUUUUCUUACCAUAAAAUUUUCAGAAUUUUGGUUUACCCAAUAAGUACAGUUUAUUCUUUAAAAUCACCCUUAUUCUGUUGUCUAACAAUUCCAACCCUUCUUAACUAAAAAUUAAUUAUCUCAUUGUACAGAAUUCAAAUGAUGUUCCCGUUUAUUUCUGAAAAUAGACUCAUUCAGAAUUCUAAUCAUAUGAUUUAAGCCCUAAUUAUUUUUCUCCAAUUUUUGAUUAUUUUAUUUUACAAAGUCAGAACAGAGGAACCCGAAAUCAUUCUAACCUUAUCUCACAAAAUUUACUAUAUCUCACAAUUUACAAUUUCAUUUCUUACACCGUUUCUUUUAUAAGAAACUAGACUCAAUAAGCUUUAAUUAAUUUUUUAUUUAACCUCUAAUUCAAUUCCUUUUUUGGUGAUUUUUCAAAUUUAGACUAUUAUUGCUGUCUAAAACUGUUUUAGUGCAAGGUAUUAUUUAUCAUGUUUAUAACACCCUUAUUUUCUUUCUCUACACUAUUUUUCAUUAUUUCUCUUAUUUUCUCUUCACUAACAUGACAAGAACAUAAGACCAUAUAUAAGAAAACUCUAAAUCAACAUCAAUUCCAUGCUUUUUCAACAAUAUUAAACUUAAAAAUAUAUUGAAAUCUUGAUGUUCUUACCUUUUCUUAUUGACUUCAAUCUUUAACUUGAUUUUUCUCUCUCCUCCAGCUUCUAUUUCUUGAAUCCAACUUGAUAUUCUUGCUCCCCAUCAUCUCCUUGCUAUCUUUCUCUCUUGAUGGCUAUGGAAAUUCUUUCAAUUUUUAGGUGAAAACAAUGAGUUUUUGGUGGAAGGACUAAAUUGUAAAGAAAUAAAACUUAUUUUCUUCUUCCUCUCUCACGUUGGUUUGCAUGGGAAAGAAAAUGAUGAUUCUUCAUCUUUCUUUCCUUAUAUAUAUAACUAAAUAAAAAAUAAAUAAUAAAAUAUUAUUUAAAAACAAUUUAAAGUAUUAAUAAACUAAUAUUUUUAUUUAAUUUAUCUAAAAUAUCUCCAACAUCAUCACUGUCUAGAUUCUCUCUCUUCCAAUUGACCAUUUUGCCCUUAGUGAUAUUUUAAAAUUCCAUUCUUGAGUCAUCACUUAAUUUGGUAAAAUUGCAAUUUAGUCCCUCAUAAUUCUUCACCUAUUCAAUUUGGUCCUAAUUCAUCAAUUUUCCUUGGUUUCUAGAUCAUUCCACCCUUAAAAAUUUUGCACUAUUAGUCCUUCUAAUUUUCAUAUUUACACUUUAAUCCCUCAAAUUUUGAGUAUUUACUCUUGGGCCCUAAAACUUUUUCUCACUUUUACAAUUUAGUCCUUUCUUGAAUCAAUAUGUCAUAAUAUACUUCCCAGUGACACAACUCAAUUUUUCCUCUUGUCACUUUAUUUCCUUAUUUUACUAUAUUAAGGAUAAUAUCUUACUGUAGAAAUUUUCAGGGUGUUACAAACAGAAUUUACAGUGAUUAAAUGUAAUUUUAUUUUUUAUUUACUCUGUAAAUCCGGCUAUAAAAAGCCAUCGAAUGUACCUACGCAUCUUAUGCACACCAGAUAUUAAAAAUCAAGCCAAAAGUUUGAAAGGUGAUUUCCAAAUCUAUUUUUUUAUUUCCUUUGAUUGGUUUGCAAAUUUAGCACGAACACAUGAAGGGGAACCCAAAUCGACGUCGAUGAAAGCUCAAACAUCUUAGAUAUGCAUAGAUGUGGGCGAGGGUCGAGCGGUGUUAAAGUUUUGUUUAAAUCUUCAAAAUUUAUUUUCGUUUUUUGAAAGAAUAGCAUAAGAUUCACGUUUUUUUUUUUAAAAAAAAAAGAGAAAAAGGGAGUGAGGUUACCAGAUUUCCAGGGUUGUGGCCUCCGUUGGCAUGAUCUGGCCAUUAUCAGCACCAUUGGCCAUCAAAUUGAUGGAGGUUAGUGGCUGCGCGAUGAAAUAACCCUCACAGAGCAAGGGUUCUGUCUUUC
rnacentral:lncRNA from 1 species